CUUCAACGACCCCAGCCACAGAGGCCGCCCCUCCGGACGCCCCUGCCCGUACGUCGCCAACAGCGCCUGCGCCUC
rnacentral:antisense_RNA from 1 species